GCCCACUUAGCUCAGAGGUUAGAGCAUCGCAUUUGUAAUGCGAGGGUCAUCGGU
rnacentral:tRNA from 1 species